AUUGAACGCUGGCGGCAGGCCUAACACAUGCAAGUCGAGCGGAUGAAGGGAGCUUGCUCCUGGAUUCAGCGGCGGACGGGUGAGUAAUGCCUAGGAAUCUGCCUGGUAGUGGGGGAUAACGUCCGGAAACGGGCGCUAAUACCGCAUACGUCCUGAGGGAGAAAGGGGGGGAUCUUCGGACCUCACGCUAUCAGAUGAGCCUAGGUCGGAUUAGCUAGUUGGUGGGGUAAAGGCCUACCAAGGCGACGAUCCGUAACUGACCUGAGAGGAUGAUCAGUCACACUGGAACUGAGACACGGUCCAGACUCCUACGGGAGGCAGCAGUGGGGAAUAUUGCACAAUGGGCGAAAGCCUGAUCCAGCAAUGCCGCGUGAGUGAAGAAGGUCUUCGGAUCGUAAAGCACUGUAAGUUGGGAAGAAGAGCAGUAAGUGAAUACCUUGCUGUUUUGACGUUACCAACAGAAUAAGCACCGGCUAACUACGUG
rnacentral:rRNA from 1 species